GUUGAAAUCACCUAUAAUCCCUUUCAGGGAUUGAAAC
rnacentral:other from 1 species